rnacentral:rRNA from 1 species
GACGUAGGGCGCGAGCGUUGUCCGGAUUUAUUGGGCGUAAAGAGCUCGUAGGCGGCUCGUUGCGUCGGCUGUGAAAACCCGCGGCUCAACUGUGGGCUUGCAGCUGAUACGGGCGGGCUGGAGUUCGGUAGGGGAGACUGGAAUUCCUGGUGUAGCGGUGAAAUGCGCAGAUAUCAGGAGGAACACCGGUGGCGAAGGCGGCUUCCUGGACCGACACUGACGCUGAGGCGCGAAAGCGUGGGGAGCGAACAGG